UGUUAAAUUUUAUCCAUUUCAAAUGCUAAAAAUAAGAGUGGCUGAUGGAAUACCCAAAGAGUUACACGAGAUGUGCCACAUGUACUUCAUGUGCAUACAGAUCAGUUUUUAACAGUAAAAUGGAUGAAAUUUUUAACA
rfam:Gossypium raimondii Chr02_contig_1454, whole genome shotgun sequence.